rnacentral:rRNA from 1 species
AGUAGUUUUUUAAUUGGAAACUUGUAUGAAUGGUUUUACGAGAUAUUAGCUGUUUCAAUUAAAUUUAAAUAGAAAUUAAUUUUUUAGUAAAAAAGCUAAAAUUUAAUUAAAAGACGAGAAGACCCUUUAGAUUUUUAUAUUUUUAAUGAAUUAAUUAAAUUUUAUAAAAUUUAAAGUUUUAAUUUAUAGAAUAUUUUAUUGGGGUGAUAGUAAAAAUUUUUUAUCUUUUAUUUUUAUUUAACAUAAUUUUAUGAUUAUUUGAUCCAGUUUUAUUGAUUAAAAGACUAAAUUACCUAAGGGAUAACAGCGUAAUUUUUUUGGAAAGUUCAAAUUUAUAAAAAUUUUUGC